GACCCCGUAGCAUAUGGCAUGCGUCCGCGCUCCUUGCGUUCCAUCCAUCCGGUUUUGGAUGUGGAAGAACCCGGUUCGAUUCCGGGCGGGGUCU